UGGUGCCGGCCAGAGGACUUGAACCCCCAACCUACUGAUUACAAGUCAGUUGCUCUACCAGUUGAGCUAGGCCGGC
rnacentral:tRNA from 1 species